rnacentral:rRNA from 1 species
UAAUACGUAGGGUGCGAGCGUUAAUCGGAAUUACUGGGCGUAAAGGGUGCGCAGGCGGCUCCGCAAGUCAGGCGUGAAAUCCCCGGGCUUAACCUGGGAAUGGCGCUUGAAACUACGGGGCUGGAGUAUGGCAGAGGGAGGUGGAAUUCCACGUGUAGCGGUGAAAUGCGUAGAGAUGUGGAGGAACACCGAUGGCGAAGGCAGCCUCCUGGGCCAAUACUGACGCUCAUGCACGAAAGCGUGGGGAGCAAACAGGAUUAGAUACCCUGGUAGUCCACGCCCUAAACGAUGAUGACUAGUUGUUGGAGGAGUUAAAUCCUUUAGUAACGCAGCUAACGCGAGAAGUCAUCCGCCUGGGGAGUACGGUCGCAAGAUUAAAACUUAAAGGAAUUGACGG